rnacentral:rRNA from 1 species
UGGGGAAUAUUGCACAAUGGAGGAAACUCUGAUGCAGCGACGCCGCGUGAAUGAUGAAGGCCUUCGGGUUGUAAAGUUCUGUCCUUGGGGAAGACAAUGACGGUACCCAAGGAGGAAGCCCCGGCUAACUACGUGCCAGCAGCCGCGGUAAUACGUAGGGGGCGAGCGUUGUCCGGAAUUAUUGGGCGUAAAGGGUUCGCAGGCGGUCUGAUAAGUCAGAUGUGAAAGGCGUAGGCUCAACCUACGUAAGCAUUUGAAACUGUCAGACUUGAGUUAAGGAGAGGAAAGUGGAAUUCCUAGUGUAGCGGUGAAAUGCGUAGAUAUUAGGAGGAAUACCAGUGGCGAAGGCGACUUUCUGGACUUAUACUGACGCUGAGGAACGAAAGCGUGGGGAGCAAACAG